GAGUUUGAUCAUGGCUCAGAUUGAACGCUGGCGGCAUGCCUUACACAUGCAAGUCGAACGGUAACAGGUCUUCGGAUGCUGACGAGUGGCGAACGGGUGAGUAAUACAUCGGAACGUGCCCGAUCGUGGGGGGAUAACGGAGCGAAAGCUUUGCUAAUACCGCAUACGAUCUACGGAUGAAAGCAGGGAACCGCAAGGCCUUGCGCGGACGGAGCGGCCGAUGGCAGAUUAGGUAGUUGGUGGGAUAAAAGCUUACCAAGCCGACGAUCUGUAGCUGGUCUGAGAGGACGACCAGCCACACUGGGACCGAGACACGGCCCAGACUCCUACGGGAGGCAGCAGUGGGGAAUUUGGACAAUGGGCGAAAGCCUGAUCCAGCCAUGCCGCGUGCAGGAUGAAGGCC
rnacentral:rRNA from 1 species